CACUUCAAUAUUAGUAGAAGAUACCACAAAAUUCAGAUAGCCUCUUCUCGAUUCAAUAACAAGAAGGAAAAUCUCUAAAGGACUGCAUGGCAUGCUUCAACGCCACCAUCUUAAAAAUUCACAUCCUGAAUGAUGCUGUGGCUAUGUUGAUCAUGAAAUAGAGACUUCAAAGAUCCAACUUAUAUUUUUCUUGGACAAAAUGUUUUUGAAGUUCUACUUUGAACUCCUCGCCCAAGCACUAAAAUAUGCUUGAGCUGAGAAAGAUGCGAGUGACCAGCAAGAAGCUAAAGGAAGAAGGUUCAUUAAGAAGAAACAAACUUGGAAGGAAUUAGGUAGAGCUCGUGUUGAGAAGGAAGCCCUCUGAGGACGACCAAGUCUUAAUCCAAGGAGCCUGGCCUACCAAUUUGACAACCACAGUCCCCUUUCAACCCUAUGUGUACAAAUCCUUAUGGAGACAAAAGGCA
rnacentral:lncRNA from 1 species